rnacentral:lncRNA from 1 species
CCCUUUUCAAAUAUGAAAAAUUAUAAACUUUUAUAUGGUUGAUAAGGUACAUCAAGAUCAUUAUUACUACAGGGAGACUAAAUCCAAAUAUUUUGAUGGUUGUAAAAGGUUCUAAACGGUAUUUAUAUGGUUUUUAUAAGGUUUUUAAAAGGUUUACAAAGUUUUUAUAAGAUUUUUAUAUGAUUUUUAAAAGGUAUUUAU